AAGCUGAAAAUAUUAUGAAAAAAAAUCAAUUGCUGGCAAUUCUUACAAAAGCUCAACAAAUACAAGAUGAGGAGUCGAAACAGAAAAUUGAAAUUGCAAGAAAAAGAUGGCAGCUAUUGAAUAAUAUAACUCUAGCUAUUGAACUUCAAAAAGAAGAAUUAAAGAACAAAA